rnacentral:tRNA from 4 species
UGGGGAGUCGCCAAGUGGUAAGGCAUCGGUUUUUGGUACCGACAUUCGAGGGUUCGAAUCCUUCCUCCCCAGCCA